rnacentral:sRNA from 1 species
CCGAAUUCUUCUCCUACGAGCACUUCUACGUCAUCUACUGCAAGUUCUGGGAGCUGGACACGGACCACGACCUGCUCAUCGACGCGGACGACCUGGCGCGGCACAAUGACCACGCCAUUUCUACCAAGAUGAUCGACAGGAUCUUCUCAGGAGCAGUCACACGAGGCAGAAAAGUGCAGAAGGAAGGGAGGAUCAGCUACGCCGACUUUGUCUGGUUUUUGAUCUCUGAGGAAGACAAAAAAACACCAACCAGCAUCGAGUACUGGUUCCGCUGCAUGGACCUAGAUGGGGACGGCGCCCUGUCCAUGUUCGAGCUCGAGUACUUCUACGAGGAGCAGUGCCGAAGGCUGGACAGCAUGGCCAUCGAGGCCCUGCCCUUCCAGGACUGCCUCUGCCAGAUGCUGGACCUGGUCAAGCCGAGGACCGAAGGGAAGAUCACGCUGCGGGACCUGAAGCGCUGCAAGCUGGCCAACGUCUUCUUCGACACCUUCUUCAACAUCGAGAAGUACCUCGACCAUGAGCAGAAAGAGCAGAUCUCCCUGCUCAGGGUGAGUGCGGUGGGCACGCGGGCGGGGCCGCACCUGCUGCGUACGUAACCUGUGUGCUUCCUCCAGGACGGUGACAGCAGCGGCCCCGAGCUCUCGGACUGGGAGAAGUACGCGGCCGAGGAGUACGACAUCCUGGUGGCUGAGGAGACUGCGGGAGAGCCCUG